GACGAACGCUGGCGGCGUGCUUAACACAUGCAAGUCGAACGGAAAGGCCCUGCUUUUGUGGGGUGCUCGAGUGGCGAACGGGUGAGUAACACGUGAGUAACCUGCCCUUGACUUUGGGAUAACUUCAGGAAACUGGGGCUAAUACCGGAUAGGAGCUCCUGCUGCAUGGUGGGGGUUGGAAAGUUUCGGCGGUUGGGGAUGGACUCGCGGCUUAUCAGCUUGUUGGUGGGGUAGUGGCUUACCAAGGCUUUGACGGGUAGCCGGCCUGAGAGGGUGACCGGCCACAUUGGGACUGAGAUAGGGCCCAGACUGCUACGGGAGGCAGCAGUGGGGAAUAUUGCACAAUGGGCGGAAGCCUGAUGCAGCAACGCCGCGUGCGGGAUGACGGCCUUCGGGUUGUAAACCGCUUUCGCCUGUGACGAAGCGUGAGUGACGGUAAUGGGUAAAGAAGCACCGGCUAACUACGUG
rnacentral:rRNA from 1 species